rnacentral:rRNA from 1 species
GUGUUAGGUUAAGUCCUGCAACGAGCGCAACCCCUGUCACUAGUUGCUAGCAUUAAGUUGAGGACUCUAGUGAGACUGCCUACGCAAGUAGAGAGGAAGGUGGGGAUGACGUCAAAUCAUCACGGCCCUUACGCCUUGGGCCACACACGUAAUACAAUGGCCGGUACAGAGGGCAGCUACACAGCGAUGUGAUGCAAAUCUCGAAAGCCGGUCUCAGUUCGGAUUGGAGUCUGCAACUCGACUCUAUGAAGCUGGAAUCGCUAGUAAUCGCGCAUCAGCCAUGGCGCGGUGAAUACGUUCCCGGGCCUUGUACACACCGCCCGUCAAGCCAUGGAAGUCUGGGGUACCUGAAGUCGGUGACCGUAACAGGAGCUGCCUAGGGUAAAACAGGUAACUAGGGCUAAGUCGUAACAAGGUAGCCGUACCGGAAGGUGCGGCUGGAACAUCUCAUUUUAGA